rnacentral:rRNA from 1 species
AUGAGAAAGGAGAGGAAAGAUAAAAAGAGGGCAGGGAAUGAAAAAACAGAGAAAGCUCAUAAAGAAAUCAUAGGGAAAAAGAGGGGUAAUCCUUUUGGUGCCCCACCAACAGGGAGUGAUUUAAAAUUUUCUUUUGAGAGAGAGAUGGAUAGUUAUGAACGCAUGUUGUAUGGUGAGACGAGUGUGUCUUCCAAGAGAAUUUGUAUGGGUAGAGUAGAAACUAUAAAGAAUGUGGACGGGGGUAAUCACACAUGUAGCGAAGGAAACAGAGGAAGAAGAGGCGUACAUGCAACAGAGGAGGGAAUCGGUUGGAGAUGA